rnacentral:sRNA from 1 species
UUUUGAUAAUUUUUUUU